CCUACGGGUGGCAGCAGUCGAGAAUCAUUCACAAUGGGGGAAACCCUGAUGGUGCGACGCCGCGUGGGGGAAUGAAGGUCUUCGGAUUGUAAACCCCUGUCAUGUGGGAGCAAAUUAAAAAGAUAGUACCACAAGAGGAAGAGACGGCUAACUCUGUGACAGCAGCCGCGGUAAUACAGAGGUCUCAAGCGUUGUUCGGAAUCACUGGGCGUAAAGCGUGCGUAGGCUGUUUCUUAAGUCGUGUGUGAAAGGCGCGGGCUCAACCAGCGGACGGCACAAGAUAUUGCGAGACUAGAGUAAGGUAGGGGGAACCGGAAUUCUCGGUGUAGGAGUGAAAUGCGUAGAUAUCGGGAGGAACACUCGUGGCGAAGGCGGGUUCCUGGACAUUAACUGACGCUGAGGCACGAAGGCCAGGGGAGCGAAAGGGAUUAGAUACCCUUGUAGUC
rnacentral:rRNA from 1 species